ACAGCAUUAUAUAAUAUGAAUGAAUUUUACUUUCUUUUUGUUUAAUUUGAAAAUAGUUCUUAAAUAAUAUAUCAUUUGUUAUAUUUGGUUUCUUAUAAACCUUUCUUGUUCGCUUUUGACUAGGAACCACAUAAUUUUUAUCAACGAUGGAGUCAUCAGAUGAAAAUUCUGAUGUAAUACAUCAGAAAAUGAAAAUGUCGAUUUUGAAUUUUUUUUAGUUAGGGCCGUUUUAGUUUUAGGUAUGUAUUUUUUACGGAGGCAAAGUCACAAAGUUGCACGUAGCUCUGUCCUGUUAAUCCAAAAUCUCGGAUGUUGAUGAAAAUGAAUUUAUUUAAAUUAGAGUAAAAAGCUGAUAUGAAGUGAUAAAAAUAAGUUUAAUAAAUUGUACGAUAUUUUGAGAAUACAAAACUUCAGUAAUUACAUAUGUGAAAAUUAUUUACUUAUGUAUAUCCCAUAUAAAUUAAAAAUCGUUUAAAGUGUUGUUUCAAAAUUUAAUUAAUGCCAAAAAUUUAUCGCUAACGAAGUAGCGGGCAGCAAGCUAGUAUAUAAUAAAAUAAUUAUAUCCUUAAUUUUUUAAACUUAAAAGUACAUUAUUUUAUAUAUCUUUUCUUCACAUUGUUUGUUGAAAGAAUUUUUUGCACAGACCUUGCUUUGACAAGUGCUGAUCAGCAACUGCACAGAUAACCAGAUAAGAAACCAUUGACAGCUGUCAAAAAAGUAAAUUCGAACCGUAUGGUUUUGUUUACAUUUUUUUUUACCAUUUUUGAGUUCCGCCAUUAGGAAAAAUUUUAGAGCAAAGGAAAAAUAAAAUGUAUUAAAAAAUCGAUGAGUGUGUGAGAUGAGCUGUAUGAUUGUUUUCAUCACAGAUAUAACCAGAUUUGUCAGAACUGACGUUUGUAAAAAGCGAUUAUCAGCUGAGCUUACCCCCAUAAUAUGAAAGAAAGAAAAAAUAUCACAUAUACGCACACUAAUGUGAAAAAAAUAUCAACCAUAUACUACCUUUUUUAACAUGUGUUCAAAAAUAAAUAAAUAAAUAAACACAAAAUUUAUUGAAAAAUUUUCACAAUUUUUUAUUUUUUUUUGUUUAUUUAUAAAAAAAUAACAAAAAUGAACUCCAACGAAGUUGUACCUUGUGGAAAAAUGAAAUUUUUUAAUAUCUGGAAAUUUUCUAAUUGUUGGCUACUGACCUGGAAGCUAAUGGACGAAUUGGACCAAAUCUCUCCUGGAUCAGCGUUUUUCUCUUUUCGUUUAAGGGUACACUAUGGACAAAAUUUUACAAAUUUUGUCAAGGCUACUGACCUGAAGCUAAUGGACGAAUUGGACCAAAUCUCCCCUGGAUCAGCGGGUACACUAUGGACAAAAUUUUACAAAUUUUGUCAAGGCUACUGACCUGAAGCUAAUGGACGAAUUGGACCAAAUCUCUCCUGGAUCAGCGGGUACACUAUGGACAAAAUUUUACAAAUUUUGUCAAGGCUACUGACCUGAAGCUAAUGGACGAAUUGGACCAAAUCUCUCCUGGAUCAGCGGGUACACUAUGGACAAAAUUUUACAAAUUUUGUCAAGGCUACUGACCUGAAGCUAAUGGACCAAUUGGACCAAAUCAUGCACGGAGUUCACUGAAAUGGAAGCCAUAAAUAUAUUAAAAUUUAUAAUUUUCAAAUGUGUUACAAUGUUCGUUAUGAGUUUUAUUACAAAAAAUCAAAAACUACCAGUUGUAAAAUUCAAACUCCUACCUUGUCGGAUCCUUCGGAAAGCGGUGAAGAUUCUCCCCUCCUGGACAAUCCUUAACACAUUUGCGGUUCCU